CGGACGGGUGAGUAACGCGUGAGUAACCUGCCUUACACAAGGGGAUAGCCGUUGGAAACGACGAAUAAUACCCUAUGACAUAAACUCUUCGCAUGAGGAGCUUAUCAAAGAUUUAUCGGUGUAAGAUGGACUCGCGUCUGAUUAGCUAGUUGGUGAGGUAACGGCCACCAAGGCGACGAUCAGUAGCCGGCUUGAGANAGUGUACGGCCACAUUGGGACUGAGACACGGCCCAGACUCCUACGGGAGGCAGCAGUA
rnacentral:rRNA from 1 species